AGAACUUCUACUUAUUGAGCAACAAUGUAUGUCUCAGCCUCCCUUGGGCUCAAGUCCUGAAUAGUGGAAUACCAGGUUUGGGGCAAUAUGAACCUAAGCCUUCCUGCUGAAGAGCAGGGUGCAGUGACAGGACUCCUGCCAGUGUAAGUUUAGGUCCCACCUCUUAUUAUCCUGAGUCUCAGUGAAAUAAGAAAUAGCUGCUCAUGGUGUUUCUCUGAAGCCUAAAUGAGGUCAUGCAUGUACAUUCUUACAUGCAUGCAUGUACAUUCAUGUACAUGUACAUUCUUACAAUAUUACAUUGUAAUAUUAUUCUGACUGAAGUUAAUGAUACAAUUGUGAUCACAGAUCACCUAUUCCUAAUUAAACAGUAACCUGGUGUGUUUUUUGUUAUGCAAGGCAGCAAUACUAUGGGUAGUAACCACUUGGUGCAAGGCUAGGGAAUGGCCACAUUUAGAAAAUCCUAGACUAUCAGGGAUUAAGGCUGUGCAAUCAGUUUCUUAAGUACCCACAAACAAUAAUUGCUUUUUUUAUUUUUCCAUCACAGAGGCAGCAACUGACAUGGAGAGAAGGAGGAAGCUUGUCUGAUACUGUUUCUGAAGAAGAUUCUGAAAGGAAUUGGAGUGAAGAGGGAGAAACAAAUAGUACCUCAGGGGCAUCUGGACUGUGCCUGGUGUGUUUGACUAUUUUCUAUGAGAGUUCUUCUAUUUAUUUACAUAUUUAUUUAUUUGUUUAUUUAUUUUCAUGCAUAUAUAUUAAUGUUUGUUCUGAUAUUUAAAGAUAUGAAUAUGUUUGGUAAUUCACUGUACUGUUUUUUUUAAAGGUAAUUUUUUAAAAUGUUAAAUCAAAGUUGUUUCAGUCCAGUUGUUUGGUUUAAAUCAUUAAGCUUUUUGGCCACUGUAAUGGAUGCUGGGGAUAAAUAGUGGGAGAUCAAAGAUAGUCAGAUCACUGAUAAGGUGUGGGAAUGUGUGUAUGUCUAUUUUUGCAGAAGAAUGUCAGCUGUUAUUUAUUGUAACACUUUCACAGUAUGUGGUCAACAUUUCUGAUGUUGAUACUUUAAGAACUCUAAUGUUCUAAUUAUCCCUUGGACAUUUAUGUCUUCUUAUGUAAGGCACAAUGCCUUUAUUUAGCAUUGAUUAUGCAAUGUGUCUCUAGU
rnacentral:lncRNA from 1 species